UUUAAUUAAGUAGCAUAAUACUGUACAGUGAUCCCUAAAGAUAAAGUGGCCUCAGGAUACAAUAUUUUUGACAUACAAUGGUCUUUUCUGAACCAUCGUAAGUUGAAACCAGACUCAACAUACAAUGCCUCAGACUUAGAUCCAACCAAU